rnacentral:rRNA from 1 species
AGCGAACGCUGGCGGCAGGCCUAACACAUGCAAGUCGAACGAACCUUUCGGGGUUAGUGGCGGACGGGUGAGUAACACGUGGGAACGUGCCUUUAGGUUCGGAAUAACUCAGGGAAACUUGUGCUAAUACCGAAUGUGCCCUUCGGGGGAAAGAUUAAUCGCCUUUAGAGCGGCCCGCGUCUGAUUAUCUAGUUGGUUGAGGUAAUGGCUCACCAAGGCGACGAUCAGUAGCUGGUCUGAGAGGAUGAUCAGCCACAUUGGGACUGAGACACGGCCCAAACUCCUACGGGAGGCAGCAGUGGGGAAUCUUGCGCAAUGGGCGAAAGCCUGACGCAGCCAUGCCGCGUGAAUGAUGAAGGUCUUAGGAUUGUAAAAUUCUUUCACCGGGGACGAUAAUGACGGUACCCGGAGAAGAAGCCCCGGCUAACUUCGUG